CUGGUUGAUCCUGCCAGUAGUCAUAUGCUUGUCUCAAAGAUUAAGCCAUGCAUGUCUAAGUAUAAACUGCUUUAUACUGUGAAACUGCGAAUGGCUCAUUAAAUCAGUUAUAGUUUAUUUGAUGGUACUUACUUACUCGGAUACCCGUAGUAAUUCUAGAGCUAAUACGUGCGUACAUCCCGACUUCUGGAAGGGACGUAUUUAUUAGAUAAAAGGCCGACCGGGCUUGCCCGACUCGCGGUGACUCAUGAUAACUUCACGAAUCGCAUGGCCUUGCGCCGGCGAUGUUUCAUUCAAAUUUGGGCCCUAUCAACUUUUGAUGGUAGGAUAGAGGCCUACCAUGGUGGUAACGGGUGACGGAGAAUUAGGGUUCGAUUCCGGAGAGGGAGCCUGAGAAACGGCUACCACAUCCAAGGAAGGCAGCAGGCGCGCAAAUUACCCAAUCCUGAUACAGGGAGGUAGUGACAAUAAAUAACAAUACCGGGCCUUUGGUCUGGUAAUUGGAAUGAGUACAACCUAAACACCUUAACGAGGAUCAAUUGGAGGGCAAGUCUGGU
rnacentral:rRNA from 1 species